rnacentral:rRNA from 1 species
AACGAACGCUGGCGGCGUGCCUAACACAUGCAAGUCGAGCGAGAAAAGGGGGAGCAAUCCCCUGAGUACAGCGGCGCACGGGGUGAGUAACACGUAGGUGAUCUCCCCUCGAGCCCGGAAUAACCUACCGAAAGGUGGGCUAAUACCGGAUAUGACCACGGGAGUUUCGGCUCCUGCGGUGAAAGAUGGCCUCUACCUGUAAGCUAUCACUCAAGGAUGAGCCUGCGUGCCAUUAGCUAGUUGGUGAGGUAACGGCUCACCAAGGCGAUGAUGGCUAGCUGGUCUGAGAGGAUGGCCAGCCACACUGGGACUGAAACACGGCCCAGACUCCUA